AGGAAUAUUGGUCAAUGGGCGAGAGCCUGAACCAGCCAAGUAGCGUGAAGGAUGACUGCCCUAUGGGUUGUAAACUUCUUUUAUAAAGGAAUAAAGUCGGGUAUGGAUACCCGUUUGCAUGUACUUUAUGAAUAAGGAUCGGCUAACUCCGUGCCAGCAGCCGCGGUAAUACGGAGGAUCCGAGCGUUAUCCGGAUUUAUUGGGUUUAAAGGGAGCGUAGAUGGAUGUUUAAGUCAGUUGUGAAAGUUUGCGGCUCAACCGUAAAAUUGCAGUUGAUACUGGAUAUCUUGAGUGCAGUUGAGGCAGGCGGAAUUCGUGGUGUAGCGGUGAAAUGCUUAGAUAUCACGAAGAACCCCGAUUGCGAAGGCAGCUUGCUAAACUGUAACUGACGUUCAUGCUCGAAAGUGUGGGUAUCAAACAGGAUUAGAUACCCUGGUAGUCCACACGGUAAACGAUGGAUACUCGCUGUUGGCGAUAUACUGUCAGCGGCCAAGCGAAAGCAUUAAGUAUCCCACCUGGGGAGUACGCCGGCAACGGUGAAACUCAAAGGAAUUGACGGGGGCCCGCACAAGCGGAGGAACAUGUGGUUUAAUUCGAUGAUACGCGAGGAACCUUACCCGGGCUUAAAUUGCAGACGAAUUACGAGGAAACUUGUAAGCCGCAAGGCGUCUGUGAAGGUGCUGCAUGGUUGUCGUCAGCUCGUGCCGUGAGGUGUCGGCUUAAGUGCCAUAACGAGCGCAACCCUUGUUGUCAGUUACUAACAGGUUACGCUGAGGACUCUGACAAGACUGCCAUCGUAAGAUGUGAGGAAGGUGGGGAUGACGUCAAAUCAGCACGGCCCUUACGUCCGGGGCUACACACGUGUUACAAUGGGAGGUACAGAAGGCAGCUACCCGGCGACGGGAUGCCAAUCCCCAAAACCUCUCUCAGUUCGGACUGGAGUCUGCAACCCGACUCCACGAAGCUGGAUUCGCUAGUAAUCGCGCAUCAGCCACGGCGCGGUGAAUACGUUCCCGGGCCUUGUACACACCGCCCGUCAAGCCAUGAAAGCCGGGGGUACCUGAAGUGCGUAACCGCAAGGAGCGCCCUAGGGUAAAACCGGUAAUUGGGGCUAAGUCGUAACAAGGUAGCCGUACCGGAAGGUGCGGCUG
rnacentral:rRNA from 1 species